rnacentral:rRNA from 1 species
UUGGAGGGCAAGUCUGGUGCCAGCAGCCGCGGUAAUUCCAGCUCCAAUAGCGUAUAUUAAAGUUGUUGCAGUUAAAAAGCUCGUAGUUGAAUUUCGGGGUCAGUAGGCUGGUCGUGCCUCAGGUACGUACUGGUCUUACUGAUUCCUCCUUCCUGACGAACCGUAAUGCCAUUAAUUUGGUGUUGCGGGGAAUCUGGACUGUUACUUUGAAAAAAUUAGAGUGUUUAAAGCAGGCUAACGCUUGAAUACAUUAGCAUGGAAUAAUGAAAUAGGACGACCGAUCCUAUUUUGUUGGUUUCUAGGAUUGACGUAAUGAUUAAUAGGGAUAGUUGGGGGCAUUAGUAUUCAAUUGUCAGAGGUGAAAUUCUUGGAUUUAUUGAAGACUAACUACUGCGAAAGCAUUUGCCAAGGAUGUUUUCAUUAAUCAAGAACGAAAGUUAGGGGAUCGAAGACGAUCAGAUACCGUCGUAGUCUUAACCAUAAACUAUGCCGACUAGGGAUCGGAUGAUGUUAAUUUUUUAAUGACUCAUUCGGCGCCUUACGGGAAA